AGCAGGUCAAGAGAGAUAUAGGACAAUUACUACAGCUUAUUAUCGGGGUGCCAUGGGCUUUAUUCUAAUGUAUGACAUCACCAAUGAAGAAUCCUUCAAUGCUGUGCAAGAUUGGUCAACUCAAAUCAAAACGUACUCUUGGGAUAAUGCCCAGGUUAUCUUGGUUGGGAACAAAUGUGACAUGGAAGAUGAGCGGGUCAUCUCAACAGAGAGAGGCAAACAUUUAGGAGAGCAGCUCGGGUUUGAAUUUUUUGAAACAAGUGCCAAGGACAACAUAAAUGUCAAGCAGACAUUUGAGCGCCUCGUGGAUAUCAUCUGUGACAAAAUGUCAGAAAGUUUGGAGACAGAUCCUGCCAUCGCGGCUGGAAAGCAGAAUACAAGACUCAAAGAAUCCCCACCACCACAGCAGCCCAACUGUGGCUGUUAAUGGAGCCGCUGGCCAAGGCAGCACUAGUGCGUUCUAUUGCCAAAAAACAGCAUCCGUAAAUGGUCUAUUAGCCUUUAUUUAUACUGUCUAUUAAUUUAUUUGAGGGAAGUCCUUGAUGUCAAUGGGUGAUAUGUGCAUACAGCUCUUUGGAAAUUUCCUGUGUCAAUACGUGGCAAAUACAUGAUCUUAAAUUUGUAAGGAUUAUCCAUUUAUCAACCUCUGAUAUCUGCAUGUGAAUAGUUGUUUGUUCGUCUUCUGAGUCUUUUACUUUUUUUUUUAAGGUUAUACUAGAUUCAUCUGGUGCCAUGACGUCAGACUAUAAUUUUACUGCUGCUUCUGAUUGCUUCAUCAAAUUCAAAUUAUGCUGCUCAUGAUCACUCUGUGGGGCAAUGAUAGGGUAUCCUUGGUGGGGGUGGGGAGAGUAGAAAAGAAGGCAACAAAGCCUCUGUGUUUUGUUUGCUUUCCUCUUGACUAAAAAUCAAUUCUGAAAUAUUACUGGUAAUUAAGGAGACAGUCACUGGGGCUGGUUAUCUUACGUAUUAAGCAAUGUGUCCAUUUUUCACUGAUAUUAAAACUAAGGGGAAUAUUGAUUCUAAAGAAAUACAAAUAUUAUUUCCAUAACCCUCAGGUGUUGUAUGAGGUUCAGUGGUUAACCUGGCAGAAAAUUGAAUUUAAAUAACUAUUUGUUUCUUGUUGUUGUUAAAACAGCUACUGCUACAACAAAAUGAAACAUGCCACCUUUGCUUAAAACGAGGCUAAACCAUGGCAACUGUUUCUACUGGUUUUAUGCAUCACUCUGAAUGAUUGGGUCACUGGGUAAAUGGAGGCAUGAUUAUGGAAUUCCAUAGCUCUGCAGAAAGCACUUUGACUGAGACAAGGUGAAUUGUUGAGGCCUCCGAUGUGUUAGACAAAACUACCCUUCCUUUCCCUCUCCCCUCCCAUUUCCCCUCACCCAAUCUGGAACAAACCCAUUCAUCUGGGCCUGGGUCAACUCAGUCAGCAUUCAGGUCAAGCAGUUCUGACUGUAGGAUCAGUGAGAGCUUGAGGGCACAAGGAUUAAGGUUCGAGUUUUGUCUUCCGAUCUGGGAAAACCUUUUCUCUGCCUUCUUACCGCUUGUUUCUAUGGUUGUCUCAGAAGUCUUUUUGUUUGGGGAGGACAUGUUUAGGUGGUUUCUGAAACCAAUCUGGGCCUUCCCUUCAAGAUGAUUUGGGUGAUGCAAACAUGGCUUCCAAGAGAUGAAACAGAGCUUACCUCUGCCUUCAAGGCCUGGAUGUUUGGAAUACUGGCACCCCACCUUAUCUCCAUCUUCAUACCAUGGGGCUUCACAAACCAAAAAAAAAAAGUGUUAAUUAACUAAAAGAUCUUGAAGACAUUCUCUAGAGCUCAGUUUUGUGCAUAUUGUUUCACAAAUAUUUUGAAGGAAGAAGAGGAGCCAAAUGCCUAGAUCCCUACUCCCAAGUGUCCCAGAUUUUUUGAAGAUGUAGAUGUUAAUGGCCUACAACCCACUGUGUUAAGUAUAACAAUUCCAUAUCUCAUUGUGCUUGCUUAUUGACAACUAGGAUCUGUGAGGGAUAUAGGAAGACAGGACCCUUAUUAAGGGUUUGGAAGACAGUUCUAUUAGGGAGCUUGCAAUUUGUUUAGUUUUGCCACCUGAGGAGGUGAUUAUUAACCUAGGAUAUGUGGGAUUCUUUACAGAGUGAAAGGAUUCUUUGCUUUUACUGUGGAAUCAUACCCAGCAUGAAUUUCAAAAUCAGAGACCCUUCCUCUGACAGGGUUUCAUGGGUGUGUGUGAGUGUGUGUGUGUGUGUGUGUGUGUGUGUGUGUGUGUGUGUGGUCCAGAAAAGCCAUAGAUAGAAGAAAAACUGGCCACAGUUUUUUUUUCCUGAAAGGGCUCAGAAAACAUUUAAAAAAACUCACGUCAUCUAGAAUUGGGUCUUAUAAUUCAGUUGAAAAUCAAAGGUUAUGGAUAACCAGAGUUAAAAGUUAGAAAUAUUUUUUACUUCACUGAUUUCUGCAUCAGCAGUUUAUUAUGCCCUUAAUUAAUGGUAAUGUCUCCAUUUGACAACCUGCAAGGUAUCUCUGGACCAUAAAGAAACAUUUGCUUUUCACUGUUUUAUAUAGCAAUGAUUGUUUUUGAAUGCUUUGAACUCUUCAAGGUGAAGAGAAAGCUAGUUUGGGAAUACAACAGGUAGGUUUGCAACUGCAUGACCAGGUUUCUCAACAUCAGAAUCACAGUACUUAUUAACAGCUGCAUUUGUGUGUGACUUGCUAGAUAUUGCUGGACAGUUGAAAAAAAAUAGUUCCUGGCCUUGAGUUACUUUUACAAUCUAUGAAAUAACAAAAAUAAGACAUGCUUUUUUUUUUACCUUUAAAUACAAAAGAAUUAGAGAUGGCAUUUUAGACAGACAUUUUGGAGGGACCAUUUCCUCUGCAUUAAAAUGAGAGAGUAAAGGGCACAGCAUCAGGCUCAUAGUAGACACCUUAUAAAUGUUUGCUGAAUACAUGAUAUCGUAAAGGAAAAUGGUCCAGUUUUCCCGUUUUGGAUGUCCCCUUCCCUGCAAACAAAAUACCAAAUGUCAAUGGAAACAGACUCCCUCUUGGAGCAGGUAGUCAGGAGUGAGAUGCCCUGUGUCUAUACCAUGCUAAACAUCACAUGUGUGAGUUUAGAGGCCUGGGUACCUGCAGUCUGUCUCUUUACUAAGGAGCGUUUGACCUUGCUACUAUAGAUGCAACUACUACUACCCACUUUCAUUCAGCUGUGAAUUUCCCAAACACGGAUGGAUUCUGAGCUAUUCUUUCUCACCUUCCAUUAUGCAGCUCAAAUCCCAGGGUAGAUUCAGUUUUUUAUAGUUGAAUGGAAAGUGUCAAGAGCUGGUUGGCACCGCCCUGAAAUGAGUUGCAAAACCCAUGAGAAAUGCCGGAUUGUGGUUAUUUUAGUGGUUUUUUUUCUUUUACUCCUGGUCUUAUCCAGAGGUCCUGGCUUUAAAACCAAACACAACACAUGGAGAAACUGGCUUGAAGUGAAUUGAGUGAGUUUCUAUAAACAAUGUCCUACGUUUUAUGUAAUAUAUGAUUUUCUAUCCCCAUGGUUUUAUAAUCUAGUUCUCUCCUUUUUACCCCAGAGAGUGUUAACUGUUCACUUAACUUGACUUAUUUAGGGAAAUAACUUGAUGUGUGUACAUAUAUUCCUUAGUUGCCAGAAACUUAGGUAAUGUCAGCUACAGAACUGUUGGACAUUUGUAUCUCAGAGACUAUUAAGGACAGUCACUUGGGAGGUAUAGCAUAUUUGGGGCCUGUGGAUAGCUACUGGCACAGCCUCAGUUCACAUCCUUUCCUGCCAUGUGUAUUGAUGUUAGCAUGUCAUAGAAGUCCUCAUGUUGGAGACUAGAAGACCUGAAUUCAAAUCUUGCCUCUUGACAUGUACUGAUUAAGUGACCUAGUAAAUCAUUUAACUCCUCAACAUCCUAGGCAACUCUCUCAAACCAUCAGUUGCAGAGAAGGUGCCAAUAUGCAUUGGAAAAGGCAGUUUCCUCACCCAGGAAUUCCCUUUACCAAUGAAAUCACUCAUCUAGUCCCUAUACCUAUGUAAAUACAUUAGACAGAUACUUUUUACUUUAUUCCAAGCCUCAAUUGUUUACCUGUAAGGGAGAGAAUGAGGAUAAGAACAUGUAUGCAAAAUAACUUGAAUUUAAAUUGGAAAAGACUCUAAACUCCUCAGAAAAGUCUGCUGUUGCACUGUUAGGUAGAGGUAGGGUUUUUUUAGACCUCUUCUGACCCUCCCCUCACCCCAAAGUAAAGUAAAAUAAAAUAAAAUAUAUGCAACCCAACUAUGAGAAAGCAAUGCUGCCAAACAGUAAUUUUUUUUUAAAGAAUGCUAUGCCUGCUUUUAUAUACUUCAGUCCUGGCUUUCAUUUUCUGCUCAUCACCUCUGGGAUGAGUCAGACCACACUUCACAAGUGAAUCUACCUAAUUCUCUCCAUCCCCCUCCAAAAGAGAGACAGAGACAGACAAACAGAGAGCUAGAGACAGACAGACAAAGCUCAAGUAUUUCAGAAAUAUAUUUCUAAGAGCCUGAAUACUGAUCUAGUGAAUAUGCAGGACUGGACAUCUACUACCUAAUCAUCUCAUCAAAUAACCACAUGUAUGGAGAUCUCAGCACUGCUGUGUUCAAGCCUGGAUGGGUCUGAAGGUACAUGAGAUAUUUUCUUCAACUAAGUUUUAAGAUGAUAAUGAAGCUUGUCUUCUGUAGACAUUAAACAAGAUUUGCUUUGAGCCGGCUCAACUGAUCCCUCCCUAGUCUACCCAAAAGAUUCAUCUUGCUGCCACUGCUCUUUCUCUGAACAACCUCUACUUCCCUGAUGGAUUUUUAAGGCAUCAGGAUUAAAGGGUUUUCAGAAAAAUGGUCCACUUCCUAUGAAUUCCUUUCUGCUGCAACAUCAUUAGGCAUAUGUAUCAGUGUUGCGAUUUUUAUUUUUAAAGGAAACUGAGUGUGCCUUCCUUUGUGAACAAAUGAUAGCAUUAACAUAUGGUAAAUGUGGAAUGCAACAGCUAUAAAAUUACCACCUAAUUACAUGGGAGACCAAUAAUUAGAAUACACCAAUAUAUAUUUUUAUGUUUUACCUUUAUGCAGAUAAUUUGUAGACGUUUUAGUCAGAGUAUUACCUUGCCUUUUACUUGGGGUGUGUGUGUGUGUGUGUGUGUGUGUUAUGUAUACACAUGUGUAUUGUGGGGGUACCUAUUUAAAUCUCUGGAACUUGUUACAUAACUUUGUAAAUGAAGUCCAUUCCUCAUGCUCAUUCCACUCACCCGACUUGGGUCCUAUGCUUCAAGUUGAACUUUCAUAAAGUAACAUCUCCUGCAGACAAUCAUUACCAAACCCUGGCUCAUUACCUAGUGCUUUAUCCCAGGGUAGGUGUCUUAGUGCAUGAUCAUAAUAUAGUAUGCAGUCAUCGUAUGCUAGACAGAAAUGCUGCAACAUGAGUUUAAUCAAGCCAGCAGCAUUUGUGUGACUACAGCACCCAUUUAUUAGAAAGAUAUCUGAGCCCUAACAAACUAAGGUAGCAACCCCAUGCAUAGAACCAUAAUCCAAGUUGCAUUGUAAAAGUCCUCAUAGUCCCCAAAGUCCCUUUGUGUGCACGCAUGUUGAUAUUUCUAGAUCUGAAAGGGCUUUCCCUGUGUGCAUGACUAUUGAUUGAAGCUCUGCUCCAAUUAGAGUGUAGAAUAUGAUACUGCUUGAACAACCAAAUCUCAAAAGCCUUUUCAACCAGACAUUAGGAAGAUCAAGUCUUUGUUCAGCUCUGCCUACCCAGGUGCAACACACCUUAUUUAAUUUAGAGAGAGAGCAUUAUGGAGUUUCUGGUGAGCACAGGCUUUUGGUAUUGGGUCCAGCAUUGAGACUGAUUUUGAUUUCAGGUAGACUUCUGGGCAGCCAAGUCUAAAUCACAGCCCAGGAUUGGAUUAGGACAUUGGAGAGAUGAGGAAGCAGAUGGCCCUAACACCCCAUAUUAAGCAUCCCAGGCUUCAGGACCUCCCACUCCCCCAGGAGAAAAUUUAUGCCUUUCUGCCUGGUGGGCUCAUCUAACUCUGCCCACCCCACUUAUCCUCCUCCUUUCAAUGUUAAGUGAUGGUUCUCCCUAGAAAACUUCAAAAGAAAUAUUUCAAAGUGAGAAUCAAAAGAUCUGUUCCUUGAAAAAAAUUAAAGAUUCCCUUUUCAACCACCUUCCCCACUUUAAAAAAUAGAAACAAUUCUAUGAAGGGUAGUUACAGUGAAAAAGAGGGGAUAACUUCAAGUUCUUCUCAAUCCAUAAAAGAUCCAUUACAUUCCUACUACAAUUUCUUCUUUAAGCAAAACAGAUAAAUGUGGCUUGUCUCUUGUUGCUGACUUAAUAGGGAGGGGAGGGCAGCUUUAGCUUCAGGGUUAAACUAUGCAAAGACCAGUCAGUUUUCAUUUAACUGAAAUGCUGCCUGGGACAGGACUUCUGUCUAAGUAAAGAACCCUGAUGUGGGGCUGCAGCAAUGGGUCUCAAUUAUGGGUUGAUUUGAUGUGAUUAUACACAGUGUUCACAUGUGCAUAACCAACUCCCACUGAGUGCAGAAGGUAGAAGGAAGACAAGGAAUGCCAAUAAUAUUCUAGAGAAUGCAAGGGAAUUUUUUCUGGCCCUCCAAUUUAUGUUUUAAAAUGAACAUUUUUUUCAGGGCACAAAAUUCAAAUUACAUUUACAUCUUAUUAGCACCUAUUCAUUUCCAGAAAACAUGGAAAUUUAUUAGUAAAAUGAAUUUGAGGGAUUAUCUGUGCAUUUAAUUAAUAAAUGUAAUCCUUGCUUGCCACUAUUGCUGAUAAUUCAGAGUUAGUUGUAGUCCUCUUCCACCCACCCCAAACUUCUCAAUUCCUGAUUUUUGUCAAACUGGGACCCUCUUGGGUCAAGUCCGCAGGCCCUAGGAAUGCUGCUCUUAGAGACAGCAUGAGCAGAUGGUCUGCGGUUUGCACACAGAUACCUGGCAUUUCAGAGGAGAGAAUGUGUCCUAAUGUUGUCUAGCAGUUUUCAUGUCAUGAAAACAAAAUCUGGUAAUCACUUGCUGUUUCACUGAAUGGCUUGCCACAGGUAGUCCCCCUGUCCCUGUGAAUGAAUGUGGAACAAAAACUGUUUGUCCUAUAAUUCCUGUUAAUAUAUUGUUGUCAGACGUGAUGUGCUACUUUUUGAAUUGUCAGAACGUGCAACUAUUUAAUGGUGUUUGUGGAACUGAAGUGUCUUAAAUGUUGCAUGAAAUAUGUUAUAAAAAUAAAUUUGUUUUCUAUUUUUCAACACCUCUAAAUUGAGGGUUCAUGGGCCAAUAAGUGCAAUAUUUAAUGACUUACUCAGUGUAUAUAAACUAGUGUGAAAGGAUGAAUUCUAAUGAAUGCUUGGGGUGUGAUUGCUGGUUGAGUGACUGAUACAAAAGAUUUAUUGUAGUUGUGUAUGUCUAGUGGUGUGUUUUAUACAGAAAAUACUUUUAUUGGUGUUCCAUGAGACUUCCAUGCCUCACCUCAACUAUUCUUCCUAUAGAAGGCAAAACUUUCCCAGGUGCACAUCAGUUUUAUCUUUUACAUUUGUGGGUAUUCUUUUCCAAACAGAAUGACAGUAGAAUGCUGUUUUUGUUGAGUAGGGUUUUUUUGGGGGGAGGGGGGGAACAGGGGAAGAGGAGUAACUGUGAAGGUUUGUUUUUUCCCCCUAAGCCCAAAGUUGUCCUUUAGUUUCUGGUUGGAUGAUGCAAAUUAUUGAUAAAUACUAAAUCCAGUGACCCAGGAAAAAUUAAAUACUGCUCUUCAGGGAAGGAGAAACUUGGUCUUUGAAUGACUGAUGACAUACUUUGUCUUCUAAGAAUUUUUACUAUUACAAUUAUUUUUGUUUUCACGGUUACAAUUAUUCAAUAAUAUGGUAGGUUCCCCCUCCCCACCCUGCUCAACACACACACUAGGAACCUUGGACAGAGCAUUCUCUUAGAUGGUAUGGGGUAUAAUCACUGUCAUUCAUUGUCCACACUAAUGAAAACUUGAGACUCAGAGCAUCUUUAAAUAUUUUGGAAGGUAGUCGAUAACCACUGUCCCUACUCAUUCACCUUUGGUUUUCCAUAUCUUAGCUAGCUUCUCAGCUUUUGGCCUGGAGUUUCAUUAAAGAGCAAAGAGAGCCACUCUGUUUACAAAUAACUCAUUUACAGAAUAACGAAUUGCCCGUAAUUUAGUUACCUGGAGUACAAAUGCAAAGUACACCAACUACCUUAAACUCUUAUUUCCCUUAUGCUACUUCAGUCCUAAGAAAUGAAUAAAUCAGAUCUUUGUGCAAUACUUCUAGUCAACACAAUAAGUCCCAUUAAAGGAAAUUUGGUGUAGUGGAUAGAGUAGCCUCAGGGUCAGGAAGACCUGAGUUCAAGUCCCACUUCUGAUGCACACUAACUAGUGGCCCUGGGCUUUCUGUAGCCCAGGAAACUUUCUAAGACUGUAAGUCCCAGAUGAAUGGCUAUUCUGUACCCAUGGAGGGAGUUUCCACUCUGGGAGUUUCUCACAUGGAUAAGAUUGCAGAUCUAGACUCCCCUCUUCCCCUAAAAAAAAAAAAAUGAUGUCUUAUGCUCUUCAGAACAGUAGUAAAUUUUCUGUGAUACACUGAAACUAUUGCAGGAUAAGUUGUUUCUCCUUUGAUCCAUAAACAUCUCUAAACAAUUAUACCUUGUGUUUUCCCUGACACAUCAUAAAAUGGGAACCUAAAGGCAGCAAAUUGCUUUAAACCAUGUUGGCCAAUCCCAAGGAUUAGCCAAACCACUGUGAAAUUGUUCCUUGCAUUUUGUACCUAGUCCUCAACUGCACUGAAUAAAGUGUACACAAAAUAAAAGAUAAUAGGAAACUUGUACCCCAUCCUACCCCCUACGCCCUGAAAAAAAAAAGUAGAGAAUCUUAGGAAUAGACAGGUUCUUAUUUUAAAGAUGCAGACAAAGAAUUUAAUAGACUACAUAAAUUUAUUCAGCACCUACUACUUGUUCAGCACAGUAUCCAGCAUUAUGGAACAGCAAAGCAUAAAAUAUGGUCUGGGACAUCAAAUUUACAAUUAAGUUGGAAAGUCAAGAAUUAUGGCUACAAUGACACUUAGCACACAAUACAAGAUAGUAGCUAGUACAGACCACAAGUGUGUAGGCUGUGAGGAGUCCAUUAGGGAUAGAAUACUGAGGAACAGCUUCAUGCAGACAGCAGGAUGAUCCAGGCUUUGAAUGAGUGGAGAUAGCUAGGGAGAUAGAAGGGAGAAGUGUUCUAAGUAGUAGAAGUAAGCAAAGUCUUACAGUCAUAGCAGAAGUGAUCCAAUUGGCUUUCUAAAGAAUCCUUGAAUUAUCUAUUCAGUUUAACUGUCUCAGCUGACCCAGUGAAUUCAAUAGGAAGGAAAUCUUACCAUUCUAGUCUACAAGGUAGGCCCAGUGGCUGGCAGAAAAUGUGGACUGCUUCCAAACAAGUCUUUAAGCAUGGCAGCAAAUGGCUUUCUUCCCUUGCUAAUGCAAUUAUCCAAGAGAUCCAAGGUAAUAUGACUUAGACAAGCAUAUUAUGGUAUCCAUUAUUUGACUAUAAUGCUGUAUGACUAUGAAAUGGGGAAAGGGGGUAGGCUAAGACCAAAUGGCUCCUUUUACAGCACUUUCAGUUUCUUGUCAAAGAUGGAUUUUUCUGAAUUGUUUUUAAGAAAAUGUUAUACUACUCACUUCUAAUAUAUGUGUGGUGGUUGUGAUCCAACUCUUACUACUGCCAUAUAGUGAUUGUGAUUUUAAAUUGUGAGUUUAAACACACUGCUGAGUAGCAAAUGUCAUGGCUCUUCUUAUGUCCACAGGAAUUCUUGUCUGGAUGUAAAUCAAUGAGAUUUCUUCACAUGUGGAGUUUUAAUUCUUUGUUGAAAUUAGUUCUGUAAAAACUGUGUGUGCUACAUUGGGUGUUCAGUUUGUUUGUGAAUUCUGUAGAACAAAAUGUCUUUUGUUCAUUGGAUUUAUUUUAUUUUUUGGAGAUGACAAUAAAUAUCUGAGAGACUAUAUUCCUGAA